AGCGACAAGGUAGCUGUUCUCCUUUACUUUAGGUACUCUAUCGAGAGCUUUAUCCACAUUUAAAAAUCAUAUUAUAAAAGGUUUCCACGAUUGCCUCCGAGGAUGAGUUGUGGCAGAGUUGUAGCAACAAACCUACCUGACUAGAUUUUCAUUGUCUCCAGUCCCUUUGCAGGUAGCACAUUCAGUCCUUAAAUCCUCUGACUUGGGUUUCUUUUGUAAAACAGACUGUCUUUGUCUUCUUUCUCUAGGAAUCCGUUCCUGUGGUAUCAGAAAGCAA